rnacentral:rRNA from 1 species
GGGGUAUCUUGCGCACUGGGCAGAAGGCCUGACGCAGCGAUCGCCGCGUGAGGGAUGACGGCUCUUCGGGAGUGUAAACCUCUUUUGCCUGAGACGAAUNUGCGCAGCGUUCANCGUGGAUUAGACCUGUCAUGGUGGGUGUACACUAAGCCACCCGAGCUCAGCUGCGUGACCUA